GUGACGUAGGGAGCCGCUCCCCAGGGAUGCGCCCUGCGAGACCUGGGCUGCCCUUGCUCCUAGCCGCUGUCCCGCGACCCUGCGCGCCGCACCCCAGGUCAUCUUUGUUAUGAACCGUUCUGUCCGUCCCCGUCUUGGGACAUGACCCAGGAGACCAGCCAAGAAAAUGAGGGCGGGGAACAGCGGCUGGAAUCCGGGAAAGCCGCCACCCCUCUGCUGCUCUGGGACGGGCGGCCUCCUGGCCACGAUGGAUCUAAGAGUGCUUCAACGAGUUUGCAAAAUGAAGUUUAGGAAACAUUGGCUGGUGUGUUGAAAUAUUCUACCGUUUAUGCUGUAAUGACCACCGCAGGAACGACCAGACAAAAGCAACCUGAGACGUGUGCCUGCACAGGAAAUCGCCAUGUGUGGUUGUGUUAGCUUUCUGACAAAAUGCCCCCACCGAGCAGCUUCAAAAGAAGAAGUUGUUUGGUACACAACCUCGGAACUUCAGUCCAUGGUUGCUUGACCCCAAUGUCUUUUGAGGUCUCUGAGAAGCCAAAGUGUCAUAGCGUCUUCUAAUGCGGCAUGAGGCAAGGAGAAAGAGAUUGGGGGCAAGAUACACCCUCCAAAGCCACGCCUCCAAUGACAUAAUCCAUCCGUGAAGUCAGUGUCUGUGAGCUGCUUACCUCUACACUACACUACACUACACUACACUACACUACACUACACUACACUACACCAGCUGGGAACCACGUGGCCAAGCGUGCACUCUCAGUGCUUCCUGUCCACGCCAUAAUAAACGUGUUUCUCAUCUCUAGAGGUGAACCAUCUAGACCCCUAGAUAAGUCUCAUCUUUUCUUAGCGGCUCUGGAUCCUAAAACCCUUUCCUUCUAACAGAAGGGUAUGCGAGCAGCCGUUGUUGUCUGUCUCUGAGAUUUUAACUUUGCUUCACUCGCCUGGCUCAUCUCCAUCACAAUUUAAAUACGAUACUAAUUUUUCGGCCUUCAAAACAAAAUGUUCUGCAUCUUUCUUCCUCAUAGAGUUGUGUAGUCUCACCAUCACUUUCUCUUACCCUACUCUCAAUCGGGCCACUUUGCACCCCUCAAACGGUUCUCCUCAGUGCCACCCAAGUCUUUCUUGCACAGCAUUGGCACUCACAUCCUCUGGGCAGCCUCAGUCCUAUUACUAUCUGUCGCUGUCAAUUGAAAAACGAAGCUUGAAGAAAGAUGCCGUCAUGAGCUAGGAGAGCUUCAUUCUACAAAGGGAGACUGUGAUAAGAAGGGCUCGGCUCCCUCAGUAUGUUGCUUGCCUUCUUUCUUGCGUUAAGAUCCCUUCAAUGCAAGCUGCUUGACGCUCUCAAGUAACUUCUCAGUCGCAUUCUGAGGCUGGCCAGACAUGGCUACUCGAUCUUCGAUCUUCAGAUUCCAAGCUGUGUGCUAGAUAAACCUCGGUAGCUCUAAAGUAGCCCAGUUUUAAACGCAAAGGAAUCUAGGACAUCAAUUGUAUGCUUGCAUGCAUGUAAGGCUCCCUCGGUCUCCGUUUUGUUUCCUGUUUCUGGGUUAAAACACCCUGAUGGGGCUGGUGAGAUGGCUCAGUGGGUAAGAGCACCCGACUGCUCCUCCGAAAGUCCGAAGUUCAAAUCCCAGCAACCACAUGGUGGCUUACAACCAUCCGUAAUGAGAUCUGACUCCCUCUUCUGGAGUAUCUGAGGAUAGCUACAGUGUACUUACAUGUAAUAAAUAAAUAAAUCUUUAAAAAAAAAAUAAAAAAAAAAACACCCUGAUGAAAGCA
rnacentral:lncRNA from 1 species